GAUGAACGCUAGCGGCAGGCUUAACACAUGCAAGUCGGAGGGGCAGCACGGGUGCUUGCACUUGGUGGCGACCGGCGGACGGGUGCGUAACGCGUAUGCAACCUACCGUAUACAGGGAGAUAGCCCAGAGAAAUUUGGAUUAAUACCGGAUAGGAGCUCCUGCUGCAUGGUGGGGGUUGGAAAGUUUCGGCGGUUGGGGAUGGACUCGCGGCUUAUCAGCUUGUUGGUGGGGUAGUGGCUUACCAAGGCUUUGACGGGUAGCCGGCCUGAGAGGGUGACCGGCCACAUUGGGACUGAGAUACGGCCCAG
rnacentral:rRNA from 1 species